AGUCGAGCGAUGAAGUUCCUUCGGGGACGGAUUAGCGGCGGACGGGUGAGUAACACGUGGGUAACCUGCCUCAUAGAGGGGAAUAGCCUUUCGAAAGGAAGAUUAAUACCGCAUAAGAUUGUAGCUUCGCAUGAAGUAGCAAUUAAAGGAGUAAUCCGCUAUGAGAUGGACCCGCGUCGCAUUAGCUAGUUGGUGAGGUAACGGCUCACCAAGGCGACGAUGCGUAGCCGACCUGAGAGGGUGAUCGGCCACAUUGGGACUGAGACACGGCCCAGACUCCUACGGGAGGCAGCAGUGGGGAAUAUUGCACAAUGGGGGAAACCCUGAUGCAGCAACGCCGCGUGAGUGAUGACGGUCUUCGGAUUGUAAAACUCUGUCUUUGGGGACGAUAAUGACGGUACCCAAGGAGGAAGCCACGGCUAACUACGUGCCAGCAGCCGCGGUAAUACGUAGGUGGCAAGCGUUGUCCGGAUUUACUGGGCGUAAAGGGAGCGUAGGUGGAUAUUU
rnacentral:rRNA from 1 species